GUGUGAAAUGAUGGUAUCAUCUUUCGGGACUGACCUGUCAUGGAGACAACCUUUUCAACUGAUCACAC